rnacentral:rRNA from 1 species
GAUUAACGCUAGCGGCAGGCCUAAUACAUGCAAGUCGAACGGCAGCACGGGUAGCAAUACCUGGUGGCGAGUGGCGCACGGGUGCGUAACGCGUAUGCAAUCUACCUGUAACUGGGGAAUAGCCUUCCGAAAGGAAGAUUAACACCGCAUAAUAUCACGAAACGGCAUCGUUUUGUGAUCAAAUCUCCGGAGGUUACAGAUGAGCAUGCGUGACAUUAGCUAGUUGGUGAGGUAACGGCUCACCAAGGCUACGAUGUCUAGGGGGUCUGAGAGGAUGAUCCCCCACACUGGUACUGAGACACGGACCAGACUCCUACGGGAGGCAGCAGUAAGGAAUAUUGGACAAUGGCCGCAAGGCUGAUCCAGCCAUGCCGCGUGAAGGAUGAAGGUGCUCUGCAUUGUAAACUUCUUUUGUUCGGGAAUAAACUUCCGCACGUGUGCGGAACUGAAUGUACCGAAAGAAUAAGGGACGGCUAACUUCGUG